AAGUUUGAUGGCGACCGGCCGCACGGGUGAGUAACACGUAUCCAACCUGCCGAUGACUCCGGGGAUAGCCUUUCGAAAGAAAGAUUAAUACCCGAUGGCAUAGUUCUUCCGCAUGGUAGAACUAUUAAAGGAUUUCGGUCAUCGAUGGGGAUGCGUUCCAUUAGGUUGUUGGCGGGGUAACGGCCCACCAAGCCUUCGAUGGAUAGGGGUUCUGAGAGGAAGGUCCCCCACAUUGGAACUGAGACACGGUCCAAACUCCUACGGGAGGCAGCAUG
rnacentral:rRNA from 1 species